rnacentral:tRNA from 1 species
UUAAAAAUAAGCUAAAUAAAGCUUUUGGGGUUCAUACCCCCAACUAUAAAGGGAAACCCUUUUUUUUAAA